CGGACUGCUCGAGCUGCU
rnacentral:siRNA from 1 species